GAUUUAUAAACAGUCAACCUUUACCUCUGUUGUCAUAAGCAAGGACGGAGCAGGGCCAGCUGGUAUUUUCUGUGUUUUACAUAACGCCCUACAACAGAUCAGCAUGGAUGGAGAGGUUGAUAUAUUUACCAUAGUACGGCAGUUAAAGGUCAGAAGACCAGAAGUUAUCACAAAGCUGGAGGAAUACAGACGGUGCUAUCAAGUGUUCCUUUAAUAUAUU